GACGAACGCUGGCGGCGUGCUUAACACAUGCAAGUCGAGCGGUAAGGCCCUUUCGGGGGUACACGAGCGGCGAACGGGUGAGUAACACGUGGGUGACCUGCCCUUAGCUCUGGGAUAAGCCUGGGAAACUGGGUCUAAUACCGGAUAUGACCCCAUGACGCAUGUUGUGGGGUGGAAAGCCUUGUGCGGCUAGGGAUGGGCCCGCGGCCUAUCAGCUUGUUGGUGGGGUGAUGGCCUACCAAGGCGACGACGGGUAGCCGGCCUGAGAGGGCGACCGGCCACACUGGGACUGAGACACGGCCCAGACUCCUACGGGAGGCAGCAGUGGGGAAUCUUGCGCAAUGGGCGAAAGCCUGACGCAGCGACGCCGCGUGAGGGAUGACGGCCU
rnacentral:rRNA from 1 species